ensembl:lncRNA
GUCAGUGUUUUAUGUACAACCUCACUGUCUUUGAACUCUGCACUAUAUAUUGGAAAAUAAAAACAUACAUAUGGUGUCUAAUCCAUUAUUCCAAGAGGUCUUCCUCCUAGCCCAUGAUAUGCCAACAUAUACAUUCAAAGAGAGAGAACAAGUUCUUUUGAAACUGGAUGUUACCAAAUAUUCAAAGAGACUGAAAGACCAUACCAGCUAUAGUGGCUAGCUCAAUGCCAGAAUCAUUAUUUUUAUGUACAAAAGACAACCCAUCUUGUAAACAAAAGCAAUAAAAAAAUGCGUCUAGAGCAGUAAAAAAAAUGGUCCAACUUUUAACACUUGGUCUUCAUGGCUGAGAAGACUUUAGAAUCUCAAAAAAGGAAUUGGAGAUGAAAUAAGUUCACGUUUUUAAAAAAAGGGUACAGGUGUUUAAUGGCUAGCUUAGUUAAUUAGUACUGGGCUUCCCUGGUGGCUCAGUGGUAAAGAAUCCAGCUGCCAAUUCAGAUGAUGCAGAUUUGAUCCCUGGGUCAGGAAGAUCCCUAAAAGAAGGAAAUGGCAACUCACUCUAGUACUCUUGUCUGGGAAAGCCCAUGGACAGUGGAGCCUGAUGCUGAUUUGGCUACUUGGGGAUCUAGUUUGUGAAGUUUCUCAGUGGAUCUGAGGACCACAGUGUUUGGAAACCACAGGUGUGGAUAGAGGAAAAGUAUUCAGAAAAGCCAAAGAAUUGAUGCUUUUGAACAGUGGUGCUGGAAAAGACUCUGGAGAGUCUCUUGGACUGCAAGAAGAUUCUAUCAGUCCAUCCUAAAGGAAAUCAGUCCUAAAUAUUCAUUGGAAGGACUGAUGCUGAAGCUGAAACUCCUGUACUUUGGCCACCUGAUGUAAAGAACUGACUCACUGGAAAAAACCCUGAUGCUGGGAAACACUGAAGGCAGGAGGAGAAGGGGACAACAGAGGAUGAGAUGGUUGGAUGGCAUCACUGACUCAAUGGAUAUCAGUUUGAGUCAACUCUGGUAGUUUGUGAUGGACAGGGAGGCCAGGUGUGCUGGAGUCCAUGGGGUUGCAAAGAGUUGGACACAACUGAGUGACCGAACUGAUGCAGAUGAAGUCAAUCAUCAUCAAGAUGAGUAGUUUAAUCACAACAGUGGUGAUUUUGCUUGGGCCACACCCUAGCAUUACCAGGACAUUUUAAACACCUGGACAGCACCCAAACCAAUUAAAUCAGAAUCUGGAGGUGGUUCCAAGUGUCAGUAUUUCAAAAGCUCUGGAAAUGGUGCAGUGCGUAAAUAAGGCUGAGCACCCAUGAACUAAGGAGCAUUUGGUUGGACUGCUGCUGCUGCUAAGUCGCUUCAGUUGUGUUCGACUCUGUGUGACCCCAUAGACAGCAGCCCUGUCUCUGGGUUUCUCCAGGCAAGAACACUUGCAUGAAAGUGAAAAGUGAAAGUGAAGUUGCUCAGUAUUGCCCGACUCUUAGCGACCCCAUGGACUGCAGCCCACCAGGCUCCUCCGUCCAUCGGAUUUUCCAGGCAAGAGUACUGGAGUGGGGUGCCAUCGCUGUCUCUAAGGCAGAAAUGGCACGGACCUAACAGAAGCAGAAGAAAUUAAGAAGAGGUGGCAAGAAUACACAGAAGAACUGUACAAAAAAGAUCUUCAUGAUCCAGAUAAUCACGAUGGUGUGAUCACUCACCUAGAGCCAGACAUCCUGAGGUGUGAAGUCAGGUGGGCCUUAGAAAGCAUCACUAUGAACAAAGCUAGUGGAGAUGAUAGAAUUCCAGUUGAGCUAUUUCAAGUCCUGAAAGAUGAUGCUGUGAAAGUGUUGCACUCAAUAUGCCAACAAAUUUGGAAAACUCAGCAGUGGCCACAGGACUGGAAAAGGUCAGGUUUCAUUCCAAACCCAAAGAAAGGCAAUGCCUAGGAAUGCUCAAACUACCACACAAUUGCACUUAUCUCACACGCUAGUAAAGUAAUGCUCAAAAUUCUCCAAGCCAGGCUUCAGCAAUAUGUGAACCGUGAACUUCCAGAUGUUCAAGCUGGUUUUAGAAAAGGCAGAGGAACCAGAGACCAAAUUGCCAACAUCAUUGAAAAAGCAAGAGAGUUCGAGAAAAACAUCUAUUUCUGCUUUGUUGACUAUGUCAAAGCCUUUGACUGUGUGGAUCACAAAACACUGUGGAAAAUUCUUCAAGAGAUGGGACUACCAGACCACCUGACCUGCCUCUUGAGAAAUCUGUAUGCAGGUCAGGAAGCAACAGUUAGAACUGGACAUGGAACAACAGACUGGUUCCAAAUAGGAAAAGGAAUACAUCAAGGCUGUAUAUUGUUACCCUGCUUAUGCAGAGUACAUCAUAAGAAAUGCUGGGCUGGAAGAAACACAAGCUGGAAUCAAGAUUGCUGGGAGAAAUAUAAAUAACCUCAGAUAUGGAGAUGAUACCACCCUUAUAGCAGAAAGUGAACAGGAACUAAAGAGCCUCUUGAUGAAAGUGAAAGAGGAGAGUGAAAAAGUUGGCUUAAAGCUCAACAUUCAGAAAACUAAGAUCAUGGCAUCUGGUCCCAUCACUUCAUGGAAAUAGAUGGGGAAACAGUGGAAACAGUGUCAGACUUUAUUUUUUUGGGCCCCAAAAUCACUGCAGAUGGUGAUUGCAGCCAUGAAAUUAAAAGACGCUUACUCCUUGGAAGGACAGUUAUGACCAACCUAGAUAGCAUAUUCAAAAGCAGAGACAUUAUUUUGCCAACAAAGGUGUGUUUAGUCAAGGCUAUGGUUUUCCCAGUGGUCAUGUAUGGAUGUGCGAAUUGGACUGUGGAGAAAGUGGAGCGCUGAAGAAUUGAUGCUUUUGAACUGUGGUGUUGGAGAAGACUCUUGAGAGUCCCUUGGACUGCAAGGAGAUCCAACCAGUCCAUGCUAAAGGAGAUCAGUCCUGUGUGUUCAUUGGAAGGACUGAUGCUGAAGCUGGAACUCCAGUACUUUGGCCACCUCAUGCGAAGAGUUGACUCAUUGGAAAAGACCCUGAUGCUGGGAGGGAUUGGGGGCAGGAGGAGAAGGGGAUGACAGAGGAUGAGAUGGCUGGAUGGCAUCACCGACUCAAUGGACAUGAGUUUGGGUAAACUCUGGAAGUUGGUGAUGGACAGGGAGGCCUGGCGUGCUGCGAUUCACGAAGUUGCAAAGACUCGGACGUGACUGAGUGACUGAACUGAACUGAACUAAUCUCAUUCAUGAGGGCUAUAACUUCAUAACCCCAUCACCACCCUAGAAACCUACCUCCAAAUAUCACAUUGUUGGUUAGGUUUCAGAAUAUGAAUGUUUGAGGUAUACAGACAUUGUCUGCAGCACUAGGAUAAGAAGGCACUCUGGAACACUCCAGUUAUUGUAGCAGAGAGAGAGGAUAUUAUACAUUAUGCACUGGUUCUUAAAGCUUCCACAUGUCAAUUCCAUUUACAUUUUUAACUUUAUUUGUUUCAUUAAGGCUAUUUUUAGAGCAGUUUUAGGUUCCCAGCAAAAUUGACAGGAAGGUACAGAGCUUUACCAGGGGUAGUUCCUGCCCUACACAUGAAUAACCUCCUCCAUUACCAGCAUCCUCCAACAGAGUGUAAUAUAUGUUGCAAUUGAUAAACUUAUACUGGUAUAUCAUAAUCACCCAAAGUCCAUAGUUUACACUACAAUUCACCCUUGGUGUUAUAUAUUCUAGGAAUUUGAACAAAUGUAUAAUGACAUGUAUCUAUUAUUAUAGUGCUCAGUUGUUUCUGACUUGUUGCGACCCCAUGGAUUGUAGCCUACCAGGCUCCUCUGUCCAUGGAUUUUCCAGGCAAGAAUACUGGAGUGGGUUGCCAUUUCCUUCUCUAGGGGAUCAUUAUAGUAUCUCACAGAAUAUUUUCACUUCCCUGAAAAUCUUCUGGGUUCCACCUAUUUAGCCUUCCUCCUCUAACUCCUGCCAACUACUAGUCUUUUUACUCUUUUUACUGUCUCUCUCUCUCUCUCUCUUUUUUUUUUUUUUACAGAAUGUCAUAUACAGUUGGAAGCUUAUGGUAUGUGCAUUUUCAGACUAGCUUCUGUCACUUAACCAUAUGCAUUUAAGCUUCCUCCUUGUCUUUUCAUGGCUUGAUAGCUCUUUUAUGAGCACUGCAUAAUAUUCUGUUGUCUGGAUGUACCAUAGUUUAUAAGUCAAUUCACACUACUGAAGGACAUCUUGGUUUCUUCUAAGCUUUGAUGGUAAUGAAUAAUACUUCUAUAAACACCCAUGUGCAUGUUUUUUGGUGGGCUUAAAUUUUCAACUCCUUUGGGUAAGUAUGAAGGAGUGCACUUGCUGGACCUUAAGAGAAUGUUUAGCUUUAUAAGAAACUGCCAAGUGGUCUUUCAAAGUGGCUGCACAAUUUUGCAUUCCCAACAGCAAAGAAUGAGAGUUCCUCUAACUCCCUGUCUUUGAUGGCAUUUGAUAUUCUCAGUAUUCUACAUUUGCUAUGCUAUGCUAAGUUGCUUCAGUCGUGUCCGACUCUGUGUGACCCCAUAGACGGCAGCCCACCAGGCCCCUCUGUCCCUGGGAUUCUCCAGGCAAGAACACUGGAGUGGGUUGCCAUUUCCUUCUCCAAAGUCUACAUUUAGGCCAUUCUAAUUGGUAUGUAGUUGAAUCUUAUUGAUGUUUUAAUGUACAUUUCUCUGACAUGUGGUAUCUCUUAGUAAAGCAUGGAAGGCUCAAUUUUGUAACACAAGUAUUAGCAUUACCUUGAUCCGAAAAUUUUGUUUCUGUCCCAUAUCAUCUUAAAUACAAUUCCAUCUCUGCAGAAACUGACACCUUCCUGCAGACUUUUUAUCACUACCCUCUUAUACAAGUAUUACUGUUGCUGCUGCUGCUGCUAAGUCGCUUCAGUCGUGUCCGACUCUGUGCGACCCCAUAGACGGCCUCCUACCAGGCUCCUCUGUCCCUGGGAUUCUCCAGGCAAGAACACUGGCGUGGGUUGCCAUUUCCUUCUCCAAUGCAUGAAAGUGAAAAUGAAAGUGAAGUCGCUCAUUCGUGUCCAACUCUUAGCGACCUCGUGGACUGCAGCCUACCAGGCCCCUCCGUCCAUGUAAACAGUGUUAAAUGGAAUGUCUCCUGCUUAGAAUUUUGCACAAGGAGCUAAAGCUGAGAGGAAUAGGUGGCAACGAGAGGCC